GGCGCCAACGCCACGGCCAACGGCACCGCCGCCCCCGCCGCCGCCGCCGCCGCCGCCACCGCCUCGGGGAACGGCCCCCCUGGCGGCGCGCUCUACAGCUGGGAGACCGGCGACGACCGCUUCCUCUUCAGGAAUUUCCACACCGGCAUCUGGUACUCGUGCGAGGAGGAGCUCAGCGGGCUUGGUGAGUGCGCGCGGGCGGCGGCCAGCUCGGCUCCGGCUCCCCCGGGGCGGCGCGGCCAUCGAGGCCCGAGCCCCGGACCCGUUCGCCCUCCUCCCGCCGCCUGGGCCCAGCUCCCAGCGC
rnacentral:lncRNA from 10 species